rnacentral:lncRNA from 1 species
GGUGAUCGAGAUGUGAAGACAUCCAAAUUUUCGUUUAUAGACGUGACCGCAAAACAUGUUCUUUGAAUGCAGGUUCGCUUGGUGGCAAUCGCAACAAACUUGUGUCUUUGCAUGUUGCAAGUUUAACACGUAACUUGUUUAAGUCAACAUGUGAUUAAGCAAAUUUGUCUUUUGGGUCAUACAAGCUUGAAAUAAGCUCUCUGGAUGCUGACAAUGAUGUGGAAAAAUCAAUCGUGUCAAAGUUUUGGAGAUUUGUAAACUUACUCGGAAAUUUUCUUAUCAACUUGAAUACAGUCUUUUUGCCGAAACCAAAUAUAGCGGAAGUGGUAUCACAACCAGUUAAAACAUGAACUGCAGGGAAAAUUUUAGCUAGUA